GAUGAACGCUGGCGGCGUGCCUAAUACAUGCAAGUCGAGCGAACAGAUAAGGAGCUUGCUCCUUUGACGUUAGCGGCGGACGGGUGAGUAACACGUGGGUAACCUACCUAUAAGACUGGGAUAACUUCGGGAAACCGGAGCUAACACCGGAUAACAUUUGGAACCGCAUGGUUCUAAAGUGAAAGAUGGCUGUGCUAUCACUUAUAGAUGGACCCGCGCCGUAUUAGCUAGUUGGUAGGGUAACGGCUUACCAAGGCGACGAUACGUAGACGAACUGAGAGGGUGGUCGGCGGCAUUGGAGGGUGACCGGGGUCAAGGCGACUGCGGGAGGGAGCAGUCGGGAAUGGGACGCAAUGGGGGAAAGCCUGACGGAGUGAGCGCGAGUCAGUUAUGACGGGGCUCGGUGCGGGAAACUCGGUUAUUAGGGAAGAACAGACGUGUAAGGAAAUGUGCAGGGCGUGACGGUAAUUAAUCAGAAAGCAACGGCUAACUACGUG
rnacentral:rRNA from 1 species